rnacentral:rRNA from 1 species
CUACGGGCGGCUGCAGUGGGGAAUAUUGCACAAUGGAGGAAACUCUGAUGCAGCAACGCCGCGUGGAGGAUGACACUUUUCGGAGCGUAAACUCCUUUUAUAUAGGAAGAAGAUGACGGUACUAUAUGAAUAAGCGCCGGCUAACUCCGUGCCAGCAGCCGCGGUACUACGGAGGGCGCAAGCGUUACUCGGAAUCACUGGGCGUAAAGAGCGUGUAGGCGGAUUAAAAAGUCAGAAGUGAAAUCCUAUAGCUUAACUGUAGAACUGCUUCUGAAACUCUUAAUCUAGAAUAUGGGAGAGGUAGAUGGAAUUUCUGGUGUAGGGGUAAAAUCCGUAGAGAUCAGAAGGAAUACCGAUUGCGAAGGCGAUCUACUAGAACAUUAUUGACGCUGAGACGCGAGAGCGUGGGGAGCAAACAGGAUUAGAUACCCUUGUAGUC